rnacentral:rRNA from 1 species
UACGUAGGGUGCAAGCGUUGUCCGGAAUUAUUGGGCGUAAAGAGCUCGUAGGCGGUUUGUUGCGUCGGCUGUGAAAUCCCGAGGCUCAACCUCGGGUCUGCAGUCGAUACGAGCAAACUAGAGUGUUGCAGGGGAGACUGGAAUUCCUGGUGUAGCGGUGAAAUGACGCAGAUAUCAGGAGGAACACCGGUGGCGAAGGCGGGUCUCUGGGCCGAUACUGACGCUGAGGAGCGAAAGCGUGGGGAGCGAACAGG